GAUGAACGCUGGCGGCGUGCUUAACACAUGCAAGUCGAACGAUGAAGCCCAGCUUGCUGGGUGGAUUAGUGGCGAACGGGUGAGUAACACGUGAGUAACCUGCCCUUAACUCUGGGAUAAGCCUGGGAAACUGGGUCUAAUACCGGAUAGGAGCGUCCACCGCAUGGUGGGUGUUGGAAAGAUUUAUCGGUUUUGGAUGGACUCGCGGCCUAUCAGCUUGUUGGUGAGGUAAUGGCUCACCAAGGCGACGACGGGUAGCCGGCCUGAGAGGGUGACCGGCCACACUGGGACUGAGACACGGCCCAGACUCCUACGGGAGCCAGCAGUGGGGAAUAUUGCACAAUGGGCGCAAGCCUGAUGCAGCGACGCCGCGUGAGGGAUGACGGCCUUCGGGUUGUAAACCUCUUUCAGUAGGGAAGAAGCGAAAGUGACGGUACCUGCAGAAGAAGCACCGGCUAACUACGUG
rnacentral:rRNA from 1 species